GAUAGUGUCCUCCCCAUUCCCUUUGUCACCGCUCAAAGAAAGGGAAACGGCCCCACUCACCUUCGAGCUCUUUGGGAGAGGAUUCUACUCUUGCAAUUUUUCAACAAUAAUGGCUCGAUGACUAUAAGCGCAAGCUCAAAGAAAUCGAUCGUUGUCUUGCUUAACUUCAAGUGGAUAACUGAGGUCCUAUCAAGAACUUUGAUAUCCACACCUCUCUACCUUUCUCCCAAUGC
rnacentral:lncRNA from 1 species